UAGCUUAGUUGGUAGUGCGUCUGCCUUGUAAGCGUUAGGCCGCGGGUUCGAUUCCCGC
rfam:Asian citrus Psyllid, Diaphorina citri - Florida Strain, whole genome shotgun sequence.